rnacentral:lncRNA from 10 species
AAAAGAUUGGGGACAACAGGAAACACAUUGGAUCCCCAGGGGAAACGGCCUGGAAGCUACAGUAGAGACAUGGGUGACCCAAGGGCUCUGUUCAAGUCCUGGGGCUGUUCCCUUUAUUCCUCCAAGCCUCAGCUCCCCGGAUUUAAAGUGAGAACAGCACCCAGCCCAGCCCACUGUCAAGGGCUGUUGCAGGAAUAUGACAACAGCCACCAAUAUUUGCAUAGCAGAGAUGCCCAGUUUCGUUUUCUAUUUGAAAGUUUCUCUGAAGGGGGAUGUGCUAGAGACACGAGAACAACUGCUACCAUCUUAAUAACUUUUCUGGCAAUACACGACGA